UUAGUAUACAUGUUGGUUGGAAAAUUUUAUUUUUAUACUUCAUCCAUCAUCAUGGUACUAACUAAACGGUUUCUCUCCUAAUAUUUAACUAAAAUGUAUUUAGUUCAUAUUUAACUUUGAAUAAAUACUUAUCUAGAUUGAUUUUAUUAAAAGAUCAUAGCAUAGGGUGCAUGAAAACCUCUGCCUUCUAGAAAACAAUCAGGGGAGUUUUUAUCCUCUACUUUGAAUUCCAGAAACAUCCAAUUGAAGACAUUAAGGGUAUUAUAAAUUUGUAAUGUGCAUUAUAUAAUUGUGAUGUGGUUUUUAAAUAUUUGUGGAAAAAUGUGUUCUUGAUAAAGCUUAGAGUAUUGGCAAAUCUAAAAUGUGGUAUUGAUUACAGGCAUUAUGCAAUAACCUAUUGGUUCAUCAAUACUUUUUUUGUGAACUUGAAGGCUUCAAUCCAUCUUCCACUUCACCAAUUAACAAUGUUUUUGACCACCUCUAGUUUAUGUCAUAUGGCAGAACUUUUCUUAACAACAUUAUUGCUUCUAAGCGACUUCAGUUUCACUUGUUUAAUUUCUCUGAAGUCCAAGCACAUUUGUGGUUACAGCACAGUAUGACACUUAUAGAUAUUUGCACAUGUACAGGUGAACUUGAUUCUUUUGGUACAUAUUUCAUAUUUUUGACAUGAAGAACUACUGUUUUAACUAUCUUUAACUACUGUUUUAAGUAUCUUUCUCCUGUUACAAUUCCUUUCAUUAUCUUAAUACUACAAAAACAUUUCUUUCGGUAA
rnacentral:misc_RNA from 1 species